rnacentral:piRNA from 1 species
UACUUACGGUGGUUGCAGAGAUUUCUCUCUC